UUCGGAAUUACUGGGCGUAAAGGGCGCGUAGGCGGCCUUCUAAGUCAGACGUGAAAUCCCUCGGCUCAACCGAGGAACUGCGUCUGAUACUGGAAGGCUUGAAUCCGGGAGAGGGAUGUGGAAUUCCAGGUGUAGCGGUGGAAUGCGCAGAUAUCAGGAGGAACACCGGUGGCGAAGGCGGGUCUCUGGGCAGUAACUGACGCUGAGGAGCGAAAGCGUGGGGAGCGAACAGG
rnacentral:rRNA from 1 species